rnacentral:rRNA from 1 species
UACGUAGGUGGCAAGCGUUGUCCGGAUUUAUUGGGCGUAAAGAGCGUGUAGGCGGCUGGGUAGGUCCGCUGUGAAAACUCGAGGCUUAACCUCGAGACGUCGGUGGAAACCCUCCAGCUAGAGUCCGGAAGAGGAGAGUGGAAUUCCUGGUGUAGCGGUGAAAUGCGCAGAUAUCAGGAAGAACACCCGUGGCGAAAGCGGCUCUCUGGGACGGUACUGACGCUGAGACGCGAAAGCGUGGGGAGCGAACGGG